rnacentral:piRNA from 1 species
UGGAAUGGUUGCUUUAGAUUAAACGUCCAA